rfam:Rattus norvegicus chromosome 10, whole genome shotgun sequence.
ACAUUGGUUUCUCUAGAAACCAUAGAAACACUCUAGAACAUUUCGU